AGCAGCCGCGGUAAUUCCAGCUCCAAUAGCGUAUAUUAAAGUUGUUGCAGUUAAAAAGCUCGUAGUUGAAUUUCGGGAUUGACACAUCGGUCGUGCCUUAAGGGGUAUGAACUGGUGUAGUCAAUUUCUCACCUUCUGGAGAACCGCGAUGCCCUUAAUUGGGUGUCACGGGGAACCAGGACCUUUACUUUGAAAAAUUAGAGUGUUUAAAGCAGGCAUUUUUGCUUGAAUACAUUAGCAUGGAAUAAUAAAAUAGGACGGCAUGGUUCUAUUUUGUUGGUUUCUAGGACCACCGUAAUGAUUAAUAGGGAUAGUUGGGGGCAUUAGUAUUCAAUUGUCAGAGGUGAAAUUCUUGGAUUUAUUGAAGACUAACUACUGCGAAAGCAUUUGCCAAGGAUGUUUUCAUUAAUCAAGAACGAAAGUUAGGGGAUCGAAGACGAUCAGAUACCGUCGUAGUCUUAACCAUAAACUAUAGCCGACUAGGAAUCAGACGAUGUUAAUUUUUAAUGACUCGUUU
rnacentral:rRNA from 1 species